AACGAACGCUGGCGGCGUGCUUAACACAUGCAAGUCGAACGAGAAAGCGGGCUUCGGUCCGCUAGUAAAGUGGCAGACGGGUGAGUAACACGUGGGUAACCUGCCCGGAGGUGGGGACAACCCUCCGAAAGGAGGGCUAAUACCGCAUGAUAUCCCUGAGGCUUCGGCCUUGAGGAUCAAAGCUAGCCUCUACAUGUAAGCUAGCUCCACCGGGAGGGGCCCGCGGCCCAUUAGCUAGNGGUGAGGUAACGGCUCACCAAGGCGACGAUGGGUAGCCGGCCUGAGAGGGUGUUCGGCCACACUGGAACUGAGACACGGUCCAGACUCCUACGGGAGGCAGCAGUGAGGAAUCUUGCGCAAUGGGC
rnacentral:rRNA from 1 species